GGCGGGCCUCCCCGCAUUGAAGAGCGAUGAACCUGGUCAGGUCGGGAACGAAGCAGCCAUAGUCGAUUCCUUCAAGUGCCGGGGGUCAGGCUCGCCAUU
rnacentral:SRP_RNA from 1 species